rnacentral:tRNA from 1 species
GAGGGUACAGCUCAGUGGCAGAGCACAUGCCUAGCAUGCACGAGGUCCUGGGUUCAGUCCCCAGUGCCUCCA